rnacentral:lncRNA from 1 species
CCGAUGUUAGGAUAGGACAAGAGCUGGCCCGGAAGGUCAGCAGAGCCCAAAGCCAUGCUGGGUGAGGUCGUCACUCGGGCUCACUGACAGGGAGAGGAAAAGAAAGAAAUUACCAUGCAAGCUGAUCUACAAAAGAAACCUCUUGCAGCCUGAAUCUAUCCGAAGCCAGAGGUUCCAUUCAACCUGGCAUGCAUUCAAAUUGCAAGCCCCCGCCCCUCCCUGGUGCCGAAUGGGCCUCUCCAACACAGACUGAGUAAUUUGAUCCAGUUACUCCGAGUCAGCGGUUUGGACAUGUGUUUGCAAUCUGAAGGCUUCCUGUGAGGUACACAGGCCCUUAAUAACAUUUCUUACGGGAAAUGUUUGGCUU